rnacentral:rRNA from 1 species
UACGUAGGGGGCAAGCGUUGUCCGGAAUCAUUGGGCGUAAAGAGCGUGUAGGCGGCCCGAUAAGUCCGCCGUGAAAGUCCAGGGCUCAACCCUGGAAUGCCGGUGGAAACUGUCGGGCUGGAGUCCGGAAGAGGCGAGUGGAAUUCCUGGUGUAGCGGUGAAAUGCGCAGAUAUCAGGAGGAACACCGGUGGCGAAGGCGGGUCUCUGGGCCGGAACUGACGCUAAGGAGCGAAAGCGUGGGGAGCAAACAGG